rnacentral:snRNA from 1 species
GUGCUCGCCUCAACAGCACAUAUACUAAAACUGGAACGAUACAGAGAUGAGUGUGGCCCCUGCACGAGGAUGACUCGCAAAUUCAUGAAGCGUUCCAUAUUUUU